rnacentral:rRNA from 1 species
AUUGAACGCUGGCGGCAGGCCUAACACAUGCAAGUCGAGCGGAUGAAGGGAGCUUGCUCCUGGAUUCAGCGGCGGACGGGUGAGUAAUGCCUAGGAAUCUGCCUGGUAGUGGGGGAUAACGUCCGGAAACGGGCGCUAAUACCGCAUACGUCCUGAGGGAGAAAGUGGGGGAUCUUCGGACCUCACGCUAUCAGAUGAGCCUAGGUCGGAUUAGCUAGUUGGUGGGGUAAAGGCCUACCAAGGCGACGAUCCGUAACUGGUCUGAGAGGAUGAUCAGUCACACUGGAACUGAGACACGGUCCAGACUCCUACGGGAGGCAGCAGUGGGGAAUAUUGGACAAUGGGCGAAAGCCUGAUCCAGCCAUGCCGCGUGUGUGAAGAAGGUCUUCGGAUUGUAAAGCACUUUAAGUUGGGAAGAAGAGCAGUAAGUUAAUACCUGGCUGUUUUGACGUUACCAACAGAAUAAGCACCGGCUAACUUCGUG